rnacentral:rRNA from 1 species
UACGUAGGGUGCGAGCGUUGUCCGGAAUUAUUGGGCGUAAAGGGCUCGUAGGCGGUUUGUCGCGUCGGGAGUGAAAUCCACUGGCUUAACUGGUGGCUUGCUUUCGAUACGGGCAGACUGGAGGUAUGCAGGGGAGAACGGAAUUCCUGGUGUAGCGGUGAAAUGCGCAGAUAUCAGGAGGAACACCGGUGGCGAAGGCGGUUCUCUGGGUAUGUCCUGACGCUGAGGAGCGAAAGUGUGGGGAGCGAACAGG